rnacentral:misc_RNA from 1 species
GAUGAAGAACGCAGCGAAAUGCGAUAAGUAAUGUGAAUUGCAGAAUCCAGUGAAUCAUCGAAUCUUUGAACGCACAUUGCGCCCGCCAGCAUUCUGGCGGGCAUGCCUGUUCGAGCGUCAUUUCAACCCUCGACCUCCCUUUGGGGAAGUCGGCGUUGGGGACCGGCAGCACACCGCCGGCCCUGAAAUGGAGUGGCGGCCCGUCCGCGGCGACCUCUGCGUAGUAAUCCGACUCGCACCGGAACCCCGACGCGGCCACGCCGUAAAACACCCAACUUCUGAACGUUGACCUCGAAUCAGGUAGGACUACCCGCUGAACUUAAGCAUAUCAAUAAGCGGAGGA